AGACAGUCAGGGGCUCUGCCCCACACCGAACCGACGCCUCCCUCCCUGCCGCCUUGGUCAGCGCGAGACUCCCCUUGGCAGCAGACCGUCAGCCUGACGCUUCCACGUGGUCAAGGGCUCUCACACCCGCCAGCCCAGCUCGCCUGAGUCCUUUCCUAGCCUGCAUCUCAGAAUUCUGUGUUAAUCACUCUGUGAUAAUCACAUGCCUGAAAAGCCCAGUGGAGGCUGAAGACCCAUCCUGAGCCUCAGGACGAAGAGAAACAUGAUGGCUGGAGCAGUGGCAGCCACAUGGAGACCAUGAAGCAGCAAGAUGGAG